CCCUUGAAUAAUGAUGAACUUGUCUCCUUUCUUCUUGCAGGCCUUGGACCAGAUUAUGACUCCUUUGUCACAUCUGUUACCACUAGAGUUGAACCUCUAUCAAUUGAAGACCUUUAUGGUCAUCUCCUUGCUCAUGAAA